GUCUGUGGCCAUGCUGCACUGAACAAGCCCGAUCCCGUCUGAUCUCGGAAGCUAAGCAGGAUCGGUCCUGGUUGGUACUUGGAUGGGAGACCACCUAGGAAGACCAGGUGCUAUAGGCG
rnacentral:rRNA from 1 species